GUGUUGUAUGAGCCGAGAGAAGGUCAGCGGCUCCCUGGACCAAGGACGAGCAUUCAACAUCAACCUAGGUUAAGCCUUGCAUUGUCUUUGACAUGCAUCUAAACCACCAGUAUUU
rnacentral:ncRNA from 1 species